AAAAAAGAAGAAAAAAG
rnacentral:sRNA from 1 species